rnacentral:rRNA from 1 species
UACGAGGGGGCGAGCGUUGUUCGGAAUUAUUGGGCGUAAAGGUGCGUAGGCGGUUUGUAAGUCUUAUGUGAAAUCUACAGGCUCAACUUGUAGUCUGCAUGAGAAACUGCCGGGCUUGAGUAUGGGAGAGGUGAGUGAAUUCCUGGUGUAGCGGUGAAAUGCGUAGAUAUCUGGAGGAAUACCCGGUGGCGAGGCGGCUGCCUGGUCCUACAUUGACGCUGAGAUACGAAAGCGUGGGGGAGCAAACA